AUGCCGCGUGUGUGAUGAAGGCCUUAGGGUCGUAAAGCACUUUCGCCAGGGAUGAUAAUGACAGUACCUGGUAAAGAAACCCCGGCUAACUCCGUGCCAGCAGCCGCGGUAAUACGGAGGGGGUUAGCGUUGUUCGGAAUUACUGGGCGUAAAGCGUACGUAGGCGGAUUAGAAAGUUGGGGGUGAAAUCCCGGGGCUCAACCCGGGAACUGCCUCCUAAACUCCUGGUCUUGAGUUCAAUAGAGGUGAGUGGAAUUCCGAGUGUAGAGGUGAAAUUCGUAUAUAUUUGGAGGAACACCAUUGGCGAAGGCGGCUCACUGGCUCGAUACUGACGCUGAGGUACUAAAGUGUGGGGAGCAAACAGGAUUAGAUACCCUGGUAGUCCACACCAUAAACUAUGAUGGCCAGUCGUCGGGCAGUAUACUGUUCGGUGACACACCUAACGGAUUAAGCAUUCCGCCUGGGGGAGUACGGUCGCAAGAUUAAAACUCAAAGUAAAAUAUUCUUU
rnacentral:rRNA from 1 species